rnacentral:rRNA from 1 species
CCUACGGGUGGCAGCAGUGAGGAAUAUUGGUCAAUGGGCGUAAGCCUGAACCAGCCAAGCCGCGUGAGGGAUGACGGUUCUAUGGAUCGUAAACCUCUUUUAUAAGGGAAUAAAGUGCGGGACGUGUCCUGGUCUGUAUGUAUCUUAUGAAUAAGGAUCGGCUAACUCCGUGCCAGCAGCCGCGGUAAUACGGAGGAUCCGAGCGUUAUCCGGAUUUAUUGGGUUUAAAGGGUGCGUAGGCGGCCUUUUAAGUCAGCGGUGAAAGUCUGUGGCUCAACAUCGGGGCUGCCGCUAAUACUGUAGGACUAGAGUUCGGGUGCAGCAGGCGGAAUGUGUGGUGUAGCGGUGAAAUGCAUAGAUAUCACGCAGAACACCGAUUGCGAAGGCAGCUUGCUAGGCCGGAACUGACACUGAUGCACGAAAGCGUGGGGAUCGAACAGGAUUAGAUACCCCAGUAGUC